CUAAUACAUGCAAGUCGAGCGCGGGAAGCAGAAGGAUUCCUUCGGGAUGACAUCUGUGGAACGAGCGGCGGAUGGGUGAGUAACACGUGGGCAACCUGCCUGUAAGACUGGGAUAACUCCGGGAAACCGGGGCUAAUACCGGAUAAAGCUCCAUGCCGCAUGGCAUGGGGAUGAAAGACGGCUUUGCUGUCACUUACAGAUGGGCCCGCGGCGCAUUAGUUAGUUGGUGGGGUAACGGCCUACCAAGGCGACGAUGCGUAGCCGACCUGAGAGGGCGACCGGCCACACUGGGACUGAGACACGGCCCAGACUCCUACGGGAGGCAGCAGUAGGGAAUCUUCCGCAAUGGACGCAAGUCUGACGGAGCAACGCCGCGUGAGCGAUGAAGGUCUUCGGAUCGUAAAGCUCUGUUGUCAGGGAAGAACACGUGUGAGAGUAACUGCUCACACCUUGACGGUACCUGACCAGAAAGCCACGGCUAACUACGUGCCAGCAGCCGCGGUAAUACGUAGGUGGCAAGCGUUGUCCGGAAUUAUUGGGCGUAAAGGGCUCGCAGGCGGUCCCUUAAGUCUGAUGUGAAAUCUUGCGGCUUAACCGCAAGCGGUCAUUGGAAACUGGGGGACUUGAGUACAGAAGAGGAGAGUGGAAUUCCACGUGUAGCGGUGAAAUGCGUAGAGAUGUGGAGGAACACCAGUGGCGAAGGCGG
rnacentral:rRNA from 1 species